AAGCAGGUUCCAGGCUCCGAGCUGCCAGCACAGAGCCCAACACGGGGUUUGAACCCACCAACUGCGAGAUCGUGACCUGAGUGGAAGUCGGAUGCUUAACCGACUGAGCCACUCAGGCGCCCCCAGGCACGUAGCUUCUUACGGAUGAGCAUGGAACGUGGUUUCUUGAGCUGGAAUCCAGUCCCAGUGAGGUUGCCUUGAGGACCGUUGUUGAAAUGACAGUGAAGAAAGGAGAAUAUCACAGGAACAGAGUUGAGAAAGCGGCCUCAGAGGACUAACUCGUUUCCAAAGAAGUUUGGGGGGUAAAAUUCUGUCAGCAUCUCCUGCUACAGAGAAACGGUUCACGCAGCAAACCUCAGUGGUGAUACUUUAAGCCAACAGGCUCCAGGCUCCGAGCCGUCAGCACAGAGCCCGACGCAGGGCUCGAACUCACAAACCAUGAGAUCAUGACCUGAGCCGAAGUCGGACCCUCAACUGACUGAGCCACCUGGGCGCCCCUGACUAGCAUUUCUCUUAGCAACAAAAGUGUUUUUAGAUGAAGGAAUGCCAGAUUAUAAGAUGUGUCUUGAGCCACUGCAGCUCUUAGCUUUAAUCUGGAGGCACUCUGCUCUUGUGAGGCAACAGCCAAGUUCUCGAAGCAGUGCUAAGAUUCAGAAAUGAAUCAUGAAUUUUAUGCAGCAUGCUCAAACAUUGUAAUGGGGUCACAUAAGGUAAAUACGAGUUACUGUAGAAAUAUUACAAAGAUUUAAAUCUCCUGUAAGUACUAUCAGUUUUUUUAAACAGCUUUAUUGAUAUAUCAUUGACAUACGGCGCAGUGCCCAUGUUUAAAGCGUGUCUUUUGGGGGCACCAGGGGGGCUCAGUAGGUUAAGCGUCUGACUUCAGCUCAGGUCAUAAUCUCGCAGUCCGUGAGUUUGAGCCCCACGCCGGGCUCCGUGCUGACAGCUCAGAGUCUGGAGCCUGCUUCGGAUUCUGUGUCUCCCUGUCUCUCUCUCUCAAAAACAAAUAAACAUUAAAAACUCAAAAUAAAUAAAUAGACAUUAAAAAAAUGGAAGUGUGCCAUUUGGUAAGACU